AAUACCGGAUAGCAUACGAAUAUCGCAUGAUAUUUUUAUUAAAGAAUUUCGGUUAUCGAUGGGGAUGCGUUCCAUUAGUUUGUUGGCGGGGUAACGGCCCACCAAGACUACGAUGGAUAGGGGUUCUGAGAGGAAGGUCCCCCACAUUGGAACUGAGACACGGUCCAAACUCCUACGGGAGGCAGCAGUGAGGAAUAUUGGUCAAUGGGCGCGAGCCUGAACCAGCCAAGUAGCGUGAAGGAUGAAGGCUCUAUGGGUCGUAAACUUCUUUUAUAUGGGAAUAAAGUUUUCCACGUGUGGAAUUUUGUAUGUACCAUAUGAAUAAGGAUCGGCUAACUCCGUGCCAGCAGCCGCGGUAAUACGGAGGAUCCGAGCGUUAUCCGGAUUUAUUGGGUUUAAAGGGAGCGUAGGUGGAUUGUUAAGUCAGUUGUGAAAGUUUGCGGCUCAACCGUAAAAUUGCAGUUGAAACUGGCAGUCUUGAGUACAGUAGAGGUGGGCGGAAUUCGUGGUGUAGCGGUGAAAUGCUUAGAUAUCACGAAGAACUCCGAUUGCGAAGGCAGCUCACUAGACUGUCACUGACACUGAUGCUCGAAAGUGUGGGUAUCAAACAGGAUUAGAUACCCU
rnacentral:rRNA from 1 species